rnacentral:rRNA from 1 species
AACGAACGCUGGCGGCAUGCCUAACACAUGCAAGUCGAACGAUCCCUUCGGGGAUAGUGGCGCACGGGUGCGUCACGCGUGGGAACCUGCCCUUAGGUUCGGCAUAACUCAGAGAAAUUUGAGCUAAUACCGGAUAAUGUCUUCGGCCCAAAGAUUUAUCGCCCUUGGAUGGGCCCGCGUUGGAUUCGCUAGUUGGUGGGGUAAUGGCCUAACAAGGCGACGAUCCAUAGCUGGUCUGAGAGGAUGAUCAGCCACACUGGGACUGAGACGCGGCCCAGACUCCUACGGGAUGCAGCAGUGGGGAAUAUUGGACAAUGGGCGGAAGCAUGAACCAGCAAUGCCGCGUGAGUGAUGAAGGCCUUAGGGUUGUAAAGCGCUUGUAACCGGGAUGAUAAUGACAGUACCGGGAGAAUAAGCCCCGGCUAACUCCGUG